rnacentral:rRNA from 1 species
UACAGAGGGUGCAAGCGUUGUUCGGAAUUAUUGGGCGUAAAGCGCGUGUAGGCGGCUUUGCAAGUCGGAUGUGAAAGCCCUCGGCUCAACCGAGGAAGUGCGUUCGAAACUGCAGAGCUUGAGUGCCGGAGAGGGUGGCGGAAUUCCCCAAGUAGAGGUGAAAUUCGUAGAUAUGGGGAGGAACACCGGUGGCGAAGGCGGCCACCUGGACGGUCACUGACGCUGAGACGCGAAAGCG